AUUGAACGCCGGCGGCAGGCCUAACACAUGCAAGUCGAGCGGAUGAAGGGAGCUUGCUCCUGGAUUCAGCGGCGGACGGGUGAGUAAUGCCUAGGAAUCUGCCUGGUAGUGGGGGAUAACGUCCGGAAACGGGCGCUAAUACCGCAUACGUCCUGAGGGAGAAAGUGGGGGAUCUUCGGACCUCACGCUAUCAGAUGAGCCUAGGUCGGAUUAGCUAGUUGGUGGGGUAAAGGCCUACCAAGGCGACGAUCCGUAACUGGUCUGAGAGGAUGAUCAGUCACACUGGAACUGAGACACGGUCCAGACUCCUACGGGAGGCAGCAGUGGGGAAUAUUGGACAAUGGGCGAAAGCCUGAUCCAGCCAUGCCGCGUGUGUGAAGAAGGUCUUCGGAUUGUAAAGCACUUUAAGUUGGGAGGAAGGGCAGUAAGUUAAUACCUUGCUGUUUUGACGUUACCAACAGGAUAAGCACCGGCUAACUUCAUG
rnacentral:rRNA from 1 species